AUGAAAAUCGUCAGUUGGAACUGUCGGGGACUCGGGAAUGGCCAGGCAGUUCAAGGCCUCCUCGAUAUGGGGAGGACAGAGGAUCCUGAUAUUGUGUUUGCGGAAACCAGACUUUCUGAGGUGGAGCUUGAUAGGUUUAGGUGGUCGCUGGGGUUAGCUAACAUGGUUGCAUGGAACCCGGUGGGACGGAGCAGGGGAGUUGCUUUGUUUUGGAGGAGGGGGGUGGAUGUCUCGCUUAGAUCGUACGAUAGAAGACAUGUAGAUGUGGAUGUUCUAGAGGACGGUGGAGGGAUAUGGAGGCUGACUGGAGUGUACGGAGAGUCGGCAACGGAUCAGAAGAAAGAAACAUGGCGCAUGAUCAGGUUGUUGGGGCAGUAG
rnacentral:rRNA from 1 species